rnacentral:rRNA from 1 species
UACGUAGGGUCCAAGCGUUGUCCGGAUUUAUUGGGCGUAAAGAGCUCGUAGGUGGUUCGCUAAGUCGGAUGUGAAAGCCCGGGGCUUAACCCCGGGUCUGCAGUCGAUACGGGCAGGCUAGAGUUCGGUAGGGGAGAUCGGAAUUCCUGGUGUAGCGGUGGAAUGCGCAGAUAUCAGGAGGAACACCGAUGGCGAAGGCGGGUCUCUGGGCCGAUACUGACGCUGGAGGAGCGAAAGCGUGGGGAGCGAACAGG